UGACCUCGGAUCAGAUGACGACGAGCGCAGUCCGAUAGGGCUUUCGUAAG
rnacentral:rRNA from 1 species